UACGUAGGGGGCAAGCGUUGUCCGGAUUCAUUGGGCGUAAAGAGCGUGUAGGCGGCCAGGUAGGUCGGUUGUGAAAACUGGAGGCUCAACCUUCAGAGGUCGACCGAAACCAUCUGGCUAGAGUCCGGGAGAGGAGAGUGGAAUUCCUGGUGUAGCGGUGAAAUGCGCAGAUAUCAGGAAGAACACCAGUGGCGAAGGCGGCUCACUGGUCCGGUACUGACGCUGAGGUGCGAAAGCGUGGGGAGCGAACAGG
rnacentral:rRNA from 1 species